UCUUCAAGUGAACAUAUAGCCUCAUGGAUGAUAGUCGUGGGAGGUUGAAUAUAGUCCCUGAUCACUUUCAAGUAUCAACUUCCAGUGAGGACACUCCUCAAAACAUAACUUCAUCUAUCCAACAGCCCAGAAUUGAUAAUUCAUCCAGCUCAAACAGUCAUUUCUGGUCUGGAAGAAAACUAAGAAGUGCUGCAUUCAUGCUGAAUUUGUUUAACCUACAGAGGCUGUCAUGGGGUUCUAGCACCGAUGAUCAGAAAAAGGUUGAGUUACCUGUCAGAGAGUUAGAAUCACUUCGAUCAGAACUUGCAUAUUUAGAAGAGAGGGAAGCUUACUUGAAAGCUCAGUUGGAACAUGUUGAUGAAGUUCUGCGCUCUGCUCGGUUCUCUGGUUAUUUGUACAUCCGAACUAGAUGGACAGCUCUACCUGGGGAGCCGCCACCACUUGAUGAUACUGAUGUGGAUGAUUGGCUUCCUCGCUUUGUUGUCCUUAAUGGACCAUGCAUCUUCUUCUAUUUGUUGUCCACAGAUUUCAGUCCUCAAGAUUCCACUCUACUUGCCGAUAUUGUUGAAGUAGGUUCUCUGCCAAGCUUUACACGGGAGCCUGAUGAGACAUGGUAUUCCGCAUAUAUCUUAACUCGUCAAGGUCUGAGAUAUGAGUGCUCAAGUGUUUCCGAAGUACAGGUUGAUUCAUGGCUAAAGGCAUUGCAAACUGACAUCAAGUUGUUUUCUGAGACAAAAGCUCCCUCAUGGUUCCAGUGAUGUGUAAAAUCUGCAUGUUUUUAACAAAUUAAAUUUAACAUGAAGUUACCAUUCUUGCGUGUUGUUAUACCUUUGAGCUCUUCAUCCUAUAUGAAUGAUCAAAGCAGAUCAAAGGUGACCUGUUAGGCUGUUGUCUCUCCCAUAAAGUAAAAUAUACAUGGUUACAUCAUCUUCUUAUAGUUUAUUUUAUUUCGUUACAGUUUGUUUGCCGUUUUAGCAUUUUUCACUUACGGUAAGAUGUCAUUAAGGACUGGCCAAAAGACACAGGUUUUGAGCUUCUUGGCUUGCCAAUUACCAAGACUCCAAGCAAGCAGAACUUACAAAUUCUCUGCCUUCGACCAAGCAUACAUGUCCAGCUCAAGACAUAAAUGGAUUUCCCCUUGCUGAGUUCCAGUCUGAAUUAUGCUUGCAAAACAAAUCUCUAUAGAUACUUCGGUUUAAGUUAGUAUUCGAGUUUCUUAUGCUCAAGUGACAAGCAUAAAAAUCAAAAAGAUGAGAGUUGUAUUUUUUAUAUGUAGAUAGAUUAGUAGAGUGUCUUCUAGUGUUGUUGAGAUAAAACCAUUCUUUCUCUCUCUUCUUCAA